UGUAUGUAAAAAUAUGGGAAUACGUGAACAUUGCACCGAAAAAAACAGUGUGGAAUAUGUAAGAACAAGGUAAACGACAUCUCCAUUCCAUCAGACAUUCCCGGUUCAACUGGCUAUCAGUCUAUCAGUAGCUUACCUGCUUUACUUCGUUUACAUUCAUCAGUCAUGUUGUUUAAAAUGCACUUUAAAAUAGGCUUUAGGUGGAACAUCAUUUUAUUCAACUCAUGUCUGGUACAACUUCACUGUUAGAUGGAUUAUUAUCUGGUGCAAUACACUCAGCUGCAAUGUCGUCAGUAUGCUCUGGAUUCGCCGAGAUAGGUUCAGCAGUUUCCACAACUCGUUUCGCAUCUCCAAUGUUGCGGGAAUAUACUACGCCUUGGUCACUCCGAACAA